GAUGAACGCUGGCGGCGUGCUUAACACAUGCAAGUCGAGCGAAGCACUCUGCUUUGAUUCUUUCGGGAUGAAGAGUAUUGUGACUGAGCGGCGGACGGGUGAGUAACGCGUGGGUAACCUGCCUCAUACAGGGGGAUAACAGUUAGAAAUGGCUGCUAAUACCGCAUAAGACCACAGCACCGCAUGGUGCAGGGGUAAAAACUCCGGUGGUAUGAGAUGGACCCGCGUCUGAUUAGCUAGUUGGUGGGGUAACGGCCUACCAAGGCGACGAUCAGUAGCCGACCUGAGAGGGUGACCGGCCACAUUGGGACUGAGACACGGCCCAAACUCCUACGGGAGGCAGCAGUGGGGAAUAUUGCACAAUGGGGGAAACCCUGAUGCAGCGACGCCGCGUGAGCGAAGAAGUAUUUCGGUAUGUAAAGCUCUAUCAGCAGGGAAGAAAAUGACGGU
rnacentral:rRNA from 1 species